rnacentral:rRNA from 1 species
GACGAACGCUGGCGGCGUGCUUAACACAUGCGAGUCGAACGGAAAGGCCCUGCUUUUGUGGGGUGCUCGGCUGGCGAACGGGUGAGUCACACGUGAGUAACCUGCCCCUGCCUUUGGGCUAACUUCAGGAAACUGGGACUCAUACCGGAUAGGAGCUCCUGCUGCAUGGGGGGGGUAGGCAAGUUUGGGCGGUUGGGGAUGGACUCCGGGCUUAUCAGCUUGUUGGUGGGGUGGUGGCUUACCAAGGCUUUGGCGGGUGGCCGGCCUGGGGGGGGGACCGGCCACAUGGGGACUGAGAUAGGGCCCGGACUCCGAGGGGGGGAAGAAGGGGGGAAUAUUGCACAAGGGGCGGAAGCCUGAGGCAGCAACGCCGCGGGCGGGAGGACGGCCUUGGGGUGGUAAACCGCUUUCGCCGGUGACGAAGCGGGAGUGACGGUAAUGGGUAAAGAAGCACCGGCUAACUACGUG